rnacentral:lncRNA from 1 species
UGCGCUUACUGCUGCGCUGCUGCUCGGUCAGCCAGCGUCUGGGAUGGGAGCGCUCCUGCAUUUUACAUGACUGCGGGGCCUGUUCCUUGCGCCUGUCUGGUCGCGUCACAUCAUGGAGGGUUUCUCGGGGCGGCCGGCCGCCUCUGAGCACAGCCAGGGUGGUGUUUGCAGCACAGCUGCUGCCUAGGCCUCGCUGCGGAGGUGCUGGGCCACGGCCCCGUGGAGGCAGAGCCGCAGGGCCAUCGACAUGUCCUUUGAAAACGGGCAUUUCCCCAACUCAUGCAGGUGGAGGGGAGAGCGAAGCCAAAUGGGACACCGGCCCCCACACACUGCCCCGGCUCCUGCAUUUCCGGAGAUGGAAACCUGGAGAGCAGCUGGGUAUGGCGCAUGAUUGCCUGAACCAUAUGAAGGCUGGCGCUGAUCUUGAAAACGUGGGUUGGACUGCGUCACCCCGACCCCUGCCUCAAAGCCCCUCCGUGGUUGCCUACAGCACAGCUUGAAGCCCCUUGGUUCUGCUUCCCGGGCCUGCAGCGCUGGCCCCAGCCUGGCCGAGCGAGCAUUUGUUCACCCAAGACCUUUCCCCUCCUGCCCUCGUGGAGCCUCCACAAGGAGUAAACAACCACUUCUGGUCCCUCAAAGCAUCAACUCUGUGCCUUGCAGACAGCGGACACGUAACACAGCCACGCGGCGUGAACAUGAGCAGACUUCUUUUUUCCAGGAUGUGCACGGUUUCCACGACAAUGCCCACUGCACGCCUUAUGGCCUCACCAGAGACGUAAAGCAGAUGCCAAGAAACUUCCCCCCAAAAUGGGCUGGCUUGCCAAGCCCAGGACCGCCUGUCCAGCUGGGGCUGGGGGCAAGGAUCCCAUUUUCUGUGACUCUCUUUGCUCUGAUGGUCAGGUUCACCGGCCGUACGUGUAAUCUGAAGCAUUCGGUAGCGAUCUAAUUAAAUGUUAACACAUCAUUAAAGUGAUUUGCGAUAAGCACA